AAUAACCACGCUAACCAACCUGAUUGGUCAAGCUUAAUAGUUGACUGCUAGGACUAGACACUUCUCUUCUGUUCUGUGGUGUACUUGUACUUUGGUGUUUGGUGUACUUCACAGAAGGUAGAAGGUGUACUUGCUCCUUGCUCCGUGUCCGUGGUCCGUGCAGUGAGUGCUUUACCCGAGAUCAAACGCUUGCGUAUUUAUUUCAACAAUUUAGGAAACAGGUUAAUUCUUUUUUUUUUGCAACAAAAUGGAUUCAGAUUCCUCAGUGUCCUCUGAUGAGAUUGACUGGCUAGGGGUAAAUUGUGGUGUUUUUGAAGAUGAAGAUGAUGUGGUCAAUGUCGUCAAUGACGGAAAUUCCCGAGAAUUUGACAACGGUGUUAACGAUGUUAAAAAAAUCAAGAACUUUUCCCGGGAAAAUACAGCGGCGGCUGCGUGUUCCAUUUUGCAAAAAAAUAAAAGAAAAAGAGAGACGUCUGGUAACAAAAAUGGCCAUCAUCGGGGGUUUUCUUGAGUACGGACCUAAGAAUAAUCGGUAAUGGUGGUUAUCGUCAGCAUUUAUUAUAAUUUCUUAGCAAUCAUGUUAACUUUAUAUUAUCCCCUUUUUUGAUAAAAAAAAACAACUACCUACCUAUACUAUCU